UACGUAGGGGGCAAGCGUUGUCCGGAAUUAUUGGGCGUAAAGAGCUCGUAGGCGGCUUGUCGCGUCGGCUGUGAAAACCUGGGGCUCAACCCCGGGCCUGCAGUCGAUACGGGCAGACUAGAGUGCGGUAGGGGAGACUGGAAUUCCUGGUGUAGCGGUGAAAUGCGCAGAUAUCAGGAGGAACACCGGUGGCGAAGGCGGGUCUCUGGGCCGUAACUGACGCUGAGGAGCGAAAGCGUGGGGAGCGAACAGG
rnacentral:rRNA from 1 species